UACGGGGGGGGGCAAGCGUUGUUCGGAAUUACUGGGCGUAAAGGGCUCGUAGGCGGCCAACUAAGUCAUACGUGAAAUCCCUCGGCUUAACCGGGGAACUGCGUCUGAUACUGGAUGGCUUGAGUUCGGGAGAGGGAUGCGGAAUUCCAGGUGUAGCGGUGAAAUGCGUAGAUAUCUGGAGGAACACCGGUGGCGAAGGCGGCAUCCUGGACCGAUACUGACGCUGAGGAGCGAAAGCGUGGGUAGCAAACAGG
rnacentral:rRNA from 1 species